rnacentral:misc_RNA from 1 species
GGUUGGAUCCCUGCCUUGAGCGGUGACGUCCUAUCUUGCUAUCCUCUUCAUUGUUGGCACAAUUUCUAUUGGCCGUCCCCCGGUUUCCUGUGUGUUGUACCUACUAGAUGGAAUUCGGUUGUCAAUCUCUAGACGUUCGCCUUAGGCUGCCCGUUAUCUCGGUGCGGCUGCGGGUGAAACUCGAAACGAGAUUCGUGUCCCACGUUGCAUGUUGGUUUCGUGGUCCAUAAAUUCUCGCUCGGGCGCUGGGAUACAGAAAACGAUGAGGGCACGGAGUCAUCGGCUCCUAUUUGUCCGCAAAAAAGGCUUAAUGCCUAUUUCGAACGACUUCGGUCCCGUUCCGGCCCCGUGCCGUGCGGGCCGAUGUCCGUGAGGAAUGCUAC